CCUACGGGAGGCAGCAGUGGGGAAUAUUGCACAAUGGGCGAAAGCCUGAUGCAGCAACGCCGCGUGAAGGAAGAAGGGUUUCGGCUCGUAAACUUCUAUCAACAGGGACGAAAGAAAUGACGGUACCUGAAUAAGAAGCCCCGGCUAACUACGUGCCAGCAGCCGCGGUAAUACGUAGGGGGCAAGCGUUAUCCGGAAUUACUGGGUGUAAAGGGUGAGUAGGCGGCAUGGUAAGCCAGAUGUGAAAGCCUUGGGCUUAACCCGAGGAUUGCAUUUGGAACUACCAAGCUAGAGUACAGGGAGGGAAAGCGGAAUUCCUGGUGUAGCGGUAAAAGGGGUAGAAAUUAGGAGGAACCCAGUGGCGAAGGCGGCUUUUUUGACUGAAACU
rnacentral:rRNA from 1 species